AAUAACAUUACCUGAACGUUUCCUCUCACCUGUAGGGCUGACUGAAGUUGGCUUGACACUGGCUGAUGUUUCCUCCGAUGAACACCGGCGCCAUCAGCAGCACAGGAAUCAGACUGCAAACAGGUGUCACCACUUCAUCCACAACAUCGUCCACGAUCGCUGAGACGUCGUCCACGAUCAGAGAGACAUUGUUGAGGAUGAGGGAGACAUCGUCCACGAUCAGAGACAUUGUCCACGAUCAGAGAGAGUCUUUGUACAAUGAAGAAGUUCUUUGAGACCAGGACAGAGGCCUCCAGGAUUCAAACUUUAACCAUGAAAUCACCGAGAGAAGAGACAGACGUGAAGACAUUUCCAGAAGGUC